rnacentral:tRNA from 1 species
GGGGUGGUAGCUCAGUUGGUAGAGCAACGGCCUUUUAAGCCGUGGGUCCCGGGUUCGAGCCCCGGCCGCCUCACCA